GAUGAACGCUGGCGGCGUGCCUAAUACAUGCAAGUCGAGCGAACGGACGAGAAGCUUGCUUUUCUGAUGUUAGCGGCGGACGGGUGAGUAACACGUGGAUAACCUACCUAUAAGACUGGGAUAACUUCGGGAAACCGGAGCUAAUACCGGAUAAUAUUUUGAACCGCAUGGUUCAAAAGUGAAAGACGGUCUUGCUGUCACUUAUAGAUGGAUCCGCGCUGCAUUAGCUAGUUGGUAAGGUAACGGCUUACCAAGGCAACGAUGCAUAGCCGACCUGAGAGGGUGAUCGGCCACACUGGAACUGAGACACGGUCCAGACUCCUACGGGAGGCAGCAGUAGGGAAUCUUCCGCAAUGGGCGAAAGCCUGACGGAGCAACGCCGCGUGAGUGAUGAAGGUCUUCGGAUCGUAAAACUCUGUUAUUAGGGAAGAACAUAUGUGUAAGUAACUGUGCACAUCUUGACGGUACCUAAUCAGAGAGCCACGGCUAACUAC
rnacentral:rRNA from 1 species